rnacentral:lncRNA from 1 species
UGGUGUAGAACUUUCUCCAACAUCUACACGAAGUUUUUUUUGGUACUCAUUUCAGCUCUGAUUUGCCGGGGAGAGGAACUAUGACUAAUAUCUGUAAUAAUAUGUGUAGAUAUACCUAGAUUUUUAGGUGAUUUGAGGGAUAAAACACCCGAAUCAAAGGAUGGUAUAUCACCUAUUGUUGAUUUUACUAGACUCUUUUUCGAACCGUUCUUCAUUGAUAAACUUCAACUAAAUAAAAUAUGGAUAGAAAUUUGUUUAAAGAAGAACGGCAGGACAGAAAACAAGACCAAAAUAGAGAAAAAUUCGAUCUCUCUCACUGGAGAACCUGAAGCCAGCCGCCUCCGCCCACUUUUAGAUUUCUCUGGUCAGAAUCUUAAAUGGCUUUUUCAUUUUUUCGGCAGCAUUUCACUACUACCAUCCAACGUCUGCCAAAGUAAUUUAAGAGAAUUUCAAUUCAAAGGCUCUAAUAAAAAAAAGUUGCACAGCAGCACAAGAAAAAGAAGGCAGCAACAAAACAAAGAAGUCAGCUGCCUUAUUCUUCAACUUUGAGCCAAAGAGUUUCAACCAUAAAAAUAUCCCUGAAAACACCUCGAAAACUAGCAGAAAUUUGCCGCAAAACAGUCCAAAAUGAGCCUUAAAAACAGCCCCGAAAAUCUGCUAAAAAACAAUCCAAAGGAGCUCCAAAAAGCCAUAAAAACCAGCUGAAAUCAUGUUAAAGCGCAGCUGCAUCGCACCUUGAAACAGUCCAAAUUUUCAGCUGAAAACGCAGCAGCAUAGCAUGGUAAAACACCCAUAAACAGCUCCGUCUUUAGUCACUGCUAGCUUUCUCUCGGGUCAUUGGAGGUUGCCGGAAUCGGUUGCUGUCCUUGUCCGUUCUCAUACAACAUUGGUGCUGUAAGUUUAUUCAAAGUGUCAAACUUUUCCCUUCCCUUUUCAUCUGAGUACUCUAUUUAUGAGAAUUUAAUUUGUUCCAUACCUACACUAUUUGGUUAAAUUCCUCUUUCGUUCAAUUGUGACAAGUGAGCAGAAAUGACCAACUGUUCCAUUUUGUCCAUAAAAAG